rnacentral:tRNA from 1 species
UCUAAUAUGGCAGAAUAAGUGCAAUGAAUUUAAGCUUCAUAUAUAAAGUUAAAAUCUUUUUUUAGAA